rnacentral:rRNA from 1 species
UACGUAGGGGGGCUAGCGUUGUCCGGAUUUAUUGGGCGUAAAGAGCGUGUAGGCGGCCUGGUAGGUCUGCUGUGAAAACUCGAGGCUCAACCUCGAGAUGUCGGCGGAAACCAUCUGGCUAGAGUCCGGAAGAGGAGAGUGGAAUUCCCGGUGUAGCGGUGAAAUGCGCAGAUAUCGGGAAGAACACCUAUGGCGAAGGCAGCUCUCUGGGACGGUACUGACGCUGAGACGCGAAAGCGUGGGGAGCGAACAGG